rnacentral:rRNA from 1 species
UACGUAGGGUGCAAGCGUUGUCCGGAAUCACUGGGCUUAAAGCGCGUGUAGGCGGGCCGGCACGUCCGUCGCUGAAAGCCCCCGGCUCAACCGGGGAAGUGGCGUGGAUACGACCGGCCUGGAGGGGGGUAGGGGGACCUGGAACUUCCGGUGGAGCGGUGAAAUGCGUUGAGAUCGGAAGGAACGCCCGUGGCGAAAGCGAGGUCCUGGACCCUUUCUGACGCUGAGACGCGAAAGCCAGGGGAGCGAACGGG